AAAAAGGCUCUUUUCAGAGCCACCCACUUCUUUUUAAGAGAGUUG
rfam:Meleagris gallopavo isolate NT-WF06-2002-E0010 breed Aviagen turkey brand Nicholas breeding stock chromosome 1, whole genome shotgun sequence.